AAUUUUCCUCCAUAACCUAUAGUAUAACCUCCUAUAGUUUUGUCCCCCAACCAAAAGUGUCAAAGACAAGGUGGGUAAGUACUAUACAAAGAUUAUUUGUUAACAGCUCACAUACAUCUGAUCAACGUAUAUAUACCAAUCAGCUAAGAAAUCAAUGGUAGAUCUUCACUUUCUAGCCUGAUGGUGUGUUCGAGUUUAUCCUGCUAGCUGCUGGGCAGGAUCGGUCCUGUGUUUGUCGGGGCCCGAGGCAAAGUCCAAAAAUUAGGCCCCCAAAACCAACGUAAAUACAAAAUUCAACGAUAUAUUAUGUAAAAUAUUGCCAACUUAAAACUUAACAUUAGAACAACAAACAAAAAUCUCAAUCAUCUCACAAUUAAUGAAAAAACUAUUUUCCUUUUCCUUUUAAAAAAAAAAAAAAAAAACUUUUGAGUCAAAAUAGGCCCCCAAUGGUCUUGGGCCUGAGCCAUAUGUCUCAUUUGCCUGGCCACGGGACCGGCUCUGCUGCUAGGGAUGAGGACAGGUUCAUUACUCGAAGUUUUCAUUGCAGCAAUUUCUUCCAAGCGUUUCCAUGUCGCUUCUCGUAUCAUCCGGGUUCCUUCUUCUCUUGCUUUGUCUUCUUGGAACUUGAGCAAACAUUCCUCGAACAGCUUGGGAACUGUGUCACUGAAAAUUUUCUGGACAUUUAGUGUCAAGCUCUGUACAGCCUGGUUCCAGUGAUUUUUUCCCUUCCAAUGCAGGGAAGAUAAUUGGGAGUAUUACUUUACGAUUUUGUUUGAUAAGGUUCUCGAUAUGAUCAUUGUUCCACAAAAAUAAAGCCCUCUCUGCAACCUGGAGAAACAAGAAUUGUACAAUGAAAAUGGAGUUAUCACCUUCUUUAGUUAGAAAGCAUAUUAUUGAAUUAAAAAAUAUCAUAAAUUACAGUCAUCAUCAAGGAAAAGAUAAGCUCUGGAAUGCCAUAUAAACUAUGCAGAGUACAAAAUAUAUAGGAAGUAUUAAUAAUCUGAAUCAUCUCAAUAAUAUCAAGAGUCAGAUUUAAUUACGAAAAUUGGGUCGGGGAAAGGGACUUCCACAAAUCUAAA
rnacentral:lncRNA from 1 species